UAGCAAUCUUGAUAAUACACUUUUAGGACAAAAUUUACAUGGAAUAAUACUAUAUUGAAUAGGUCUGAGAAUCGCUUUCUAGCUUAGAUACGUCGAAGGGAAGCCAACCUUUUUUCAAGAUCCUCAACAUUAGGAGAUUCAACACUGCAAUUAAUUAAGAUAAAUUGUUAAAAGAAAAAUCUUCAAAAUAAAAAACUACUGCAAAUGAUUUUUUUAACUAAAACCCAGCCACCAACACAAAACCUCCAUCAAUUAAAGAAACUAAAAGUAUUUUUCUAUCAGAAAAUACCUAUUUAUUAAAAAAAAAACAAAUUUUAAUAUCAAAUAUAAGGGAUUUUGCGACUUCUCUCUAGACGCAAGCUCAUGUGCUAUUGUACGACGUUUCCCAUCAUGAGGAAGAAAAAUCAAACGAUCCGUAACAAUUUGUGUCAUCAAUUGAAGAAAAGGGCGAUCUCAAGUGAGCCGGCAAGGAAUGGAGAAGUAGGAAGAGAUGGCUAGCGGUUUUGGUGGAAAGGGAGGUUGGUGAUGAGGUUUUCAGUGAGGAUGUAGGUUCUAUCAAGAAGACGUGGAUCGAGGGCAGGAUGGGGGGAGUAACUAUAGAGACGGCACAAGGAAAUAGAGUAAUUAGGCACAGUUAGUGGCAGAGUAUCCUUCUUCUCUUCCUUCCUCUCUCUACAUUCUCGAUUCUUCUAUUCUUCAAGGCAGAGUAUCCUAAACAGGGUAUCUGCUGACAGUAAGCCUCUUUUCUCUUAUCAAUUUACAUUACAGAGUCUAGAGUUGGGGUUUGCUAGAGUUUCGAUUGAAAUGAAUAUCAAUGGGGAAUUUCUUGAUAAAAUUGUGUUAGAUGAUGAGAGGGAUGUAUAUGGCAGAGAAUUGAGUAUGAGUGGAAACCAAUCAAAUGUCACAAAGGUAUUGGCAUGAAGCAAUUAAUUGUAGCACAAAAAAGAAUAUAAAGAGGGGGAUGGUAAAAGCGAGGAGAAUGUUCUAAAAGGAAAGGAAGUGGAGAUUUUCAAUAUGGGAAGGGAGAAUAAGGGUAUUGAAUAUAAAAUAAGAAAUAAGAUAAUUAGCGAUGAUCUUUGUGAGGAAUAGGAAUACACAAAGGAAAGGAAGUCCUAGGUUAACUAAUGUGGUGUUAUUGGAGACAUGAGUGACGGAAGGAAGGGAGAAUUCCCUGUUAGAGGACUAUGAUAGGUACUUGGAACAUUGGGGUCUAAAUGACCCCAAGAAGCAAUCAGAGGUCCACUCCCUGAUUAUGAGAAAUAAGUUGAUAUUAGGAAUAAUGGAAACUAGAGUGAGGUCAAUAAUAAAGGGUUUGAGAAUGUUAGGGUGGAGUUUUAUACAUAACUACCAAUUUGUUGAAUUGGAAGAAUUUGGAUUGGCUAUAAUCCUUACUAGUUGCAAAUCCAAACGGAACUCUCAACUUAUCAAAUCAUUCAUCUAUGAGCAAGCAAUUCUAGUAUAGAGAGAAGAAGGUUGUAGGAGGUAAUCAUUCAUAUUGCUAGUGUGGGCCUUGAAUGAUUCAAAGUGAUUUCAAAAUUAUUCUAUCUGUUUGGUAGAGUGUUGGAGGUUUAAGAAUGGAUAGCUCCAAUGAAGAAUUUAAGGAGUGUAUUGUUGGAAUGCUAGAAUCUGCAGAAAUUUGGAUAGAUAUAAAUAAAUUUAGCACGGGUUAAGGCAUUUGAUUUUCUGAAUUUGAAGCUAGGGUGGCUGGGUUGUUUGAUCAGAGACUCUCCCCUUUUAGUCAACUUGCGUAUUGAGAAGGAGGUGAUGUGAUGAAUGUUCCUUUCAUAUUUUUUUAAUAUGUGGGUUACCUAUCCUAAAUUUCGUAAUACUGCGAAGAGGGGUAAAUUUCGUAAUGCUAUGUUCAGGCUGAGGGGUAAAUUUAAAGACCUAAAAGGAUAGUUUAAGAUUUCUCUCAGAUAUUGAUGUAGGAAUAUGGUUGAGCAACUACAAAUUAAUCAGAAGAAGGAUCCUAGUAAUGAGCCUUUAAUUGAUGAGGAGAGAGCUGUUGUGAUUCAGUUUAGGAGAUUGUCGAAAAAGGAUGAAGAUUUUUAUAAAAACAAAAAUCUAGAUUAUCCUAUAUUAAAUUAGGGGAUUAGAACACUAGAUACUUCCAUAAUUCCUUAAAAAUCAAGAAUGUGAGAAUUAAGAUUUCUAGCAUUACUCUAUUUGGUGGGGUUGUGAACUUGUGAUCUAUAAUUCCAUGAAAAUCAGGAAUGUGAGAAUUAAGAUUUCUAGCAUUACUCUAUUUGCUGGGGUUGUGAACUUGUGAUUACUAAAGCAAGGUGCUAUUAAGCAUGCUAUAGUAGAAUACUACUAGAAAUUAAUGAGAGCUACGGUUCAAAACAGACGAUAUGAUGAUAUUUUGGUUAUAGCUUCUAGUCCUGUUGUGGUCAAUUGGAGUUGAUAAAGCUCCAUAGAUUGAUGGGCUUAGAAUGUAGGGGAUGAUUAGGAUGCUUACUAUCUACAAUGGGUAAAGUCCUUGACAAAAUUAUUAAUCAAAGUCAAUUUGACAUUAUUCUUGGUUGAAGAAUAACGGCUAAUAUUUCUGCUUACCCAUGAAGGGAUAGGAACUACAAUAGGGAAAGUGCGCCUCCUAGGUGUGCUACGAAGGUAUAUGGGAAAGUAUAUGACUCUGUUAGUUGGAUUUUAUUGAUGAGGUAAUGUUGGGUUUAAAGUUCCCUCUUACAUUUGUUAAUUGGGUUAUGCAAUGUGUGAGGACACCCUGGUAUUAAGAAAGGCAUACAAUUCUAUCCUUGUGAAUAGGAGUCUUGAGGGUUUCUUUCUUGGUAAGAAGGGUGAAGCAAGUCCUAUGUUUUUUGUUAAUAAUGGAGUAUUUCUCUAGGUUGGUGACUGGAAUUGUAAGGAGAUUAAGCUUAAUCCCCUUUGUUUUACUGAUACUCCUUUCUUAUUCAAUCAUAGGGUACAAUUUUGUUGGUGUAUUAGCUAUUGCUUUGUUGCAAUGUGAAGUUGUGUCUGGUUUACAGUUGAAUGAGAAUAAAAGUUGUGUAUUUCUCUAAUAUGAAUGAGGGGUCAGACACAGAUCCUGCAGAUGCUGAAGUUUAGAGAAGGCAAGCCCGUGAAAUAUCUUCGCCUGACUCUAGUCUAGUAUCUACUUCAAUUCUUCAACAACUAAGGAACACUACUAGAAACUUGUCAACAGAAUUACUGCCAGAAUAAACUAUUGGGCUGCAAAGCAUCUUUCAUAUGUUGGUAGGGUGUUUGUUAAUCAAUUCUAUAUCAAGAAGAAUGAUGUUGUGUUUUUGUGCUUCCAAAAGCUGUGAUCAAAGAAAUAGAUAAAAGACUAGAGUGCCCAGAAAGUAGUAUGGGGGCAAUGUGGCAAGAUAAGGAUUGCACGUUGAAAUUUGAAGCAGGCUUGGGCAUUAAAGAUUCAGUAUCCUAGAAUAAAGUUGUUGUGGAUAAAUUGAUUUGGGAACUGCUAACUUCUAAAGUUCUUUAUGGGAAGUUUGGGUGGCUAGGAACAAGUUGAAUCACCCAAGUAUUCAGAGCAUUACCAAACCUCUGGAUGCUAGCUGGGAUUGGACGGAGGAACCUGGUUAAGUUUGAGAGAUGCUGACAUCCCAAAACAAGCCAAGGUGAAAGAGUACUGGACGCAUGGAGCCUGGAGUUUGCCUCACCCCAUUGAUUUUGAGACUGCAGCUACUUUGGAGGAGGUUAGGAAUCAUAGUGUACAUGCAAAGAGAGAGGAUAUUAUUACUUGGAAGUUGUCUUCUUCUAGCCAGUAUACAAUUGAAAGUGCUUGAAAGACAAUUAGGACCAGAAGCAACAUAAUUUCUUGGUGUAAGUUGGUUUGAGAUAAACAUAUUAUUCCCAGACAGUUUAUUUAUUCUCUGGUGAGCUAUUGAUGAGGAGGUUGGCUGUGAGGAGAGGCUUCUUAGAUGGAGGCUGGUUGAGGAUAGUUUGUGCCAAUUCUGUCAUGUGCAAGAAAAAAGUGCGAGUCAUUUUUCAAAUGUCCCUUUUCCUCCAGGGUAUGGACUGUGGACAGCAAUUCUGCAAGCGUUCCAUAUUCAGACUUGUGUUGGUGGAGAAGAGAAGUGAGUUGGUUUUCGUGCAAAGCUGUGGGAAGUUGCAGAGGGUUGCCUUCAAUGCAACUGUUUACUUUAUUUGGAUGGAGAGGAACAGUGUGAUUUUUAAGUGAAGGCUGAUGUGAACGGAGUUAUUCAUAAGAUUGUUUCUCGUGUAAACAUUAAAUUGACAUACUUGUAUAGCUCCAUGGAUUGGGACCAACAGUAUAGAAAUUGAGUUGCUUUGGCUGGGUUGGGGUUUGUUGGGGUUGCUGUUUUCUUUUCUGGUUUGUACAGUAUUCAUUUGUUCGUCGCUUUGGUUUGCAAUAAAUUUCUUGCUUACCAAAGAGAUAAAAUGAAAACUAUUUAUCACUAAUGUUACUAAUGACUCUUGGGAUGUGGUCUUCUAAUAACAUAAAAUCCACUUAACAUUUUUUGAUAAUGGGAUUUAAUCCAAGGUAAAAUAUUUGAUACCUUUUAACAGCAUUAGAAGCAUUCUUUGACGCGAUCCGUCCCUUUGGAGCUGAAGAUAACUGUCGAGAAAAAGGGGAACAAAAUUAGACAUAAUUUGGUUACACUUUGUGGACAUUAAGAGAAUACAAGAAUUAAAUUGUGUGAGAUGGUCAAAACAUUUGCACAUUUACCUGAGAUGCAAUAUCGACACCAAUCUCAUCAAGCACCUAGAGUUUAACUUAUUCAGGUUAGACAUGUGUUGGCACCUUCAAAAUAAAACUAAAAGAGGGGGAAAAGAGGCUGCAGAUAUUUCACCUGGUUAGUAAGCUCCUCUGUUUCUUCUUCAGCCUCAUCUUUGUCUAAAGUUUCAUCAAUAGACUCGGACAUCAUCUCAAUCUGCCAAAAAAAAAAAGACAAUAUUAAAUAUUCCAAGUACGCCAUACGGUAAAAUCCCAUUAAUUAAUAUUGAUGUAUUAUGUUCAACAUCUUGAUAGGACUUGAAGAAACACUGCCUGAGUGAGUGCCUGUCAUUUCCUUCAAAACUUUCUUUUCCUAAGGGCUAGCCAUUUGAUUGUAAUAAUUGUAUUGGAGCAAGAAUUGUAGGAGAGUGCAGCCAGAGGAGAUGAAAGGGAGAAAGGUGAUAAAACAAAGAAAAUAUUACCGUCAUAUCCAGUUGUGCUGACUGCUUCUGGAAUUCUUUUAUUACUUUAGCUUGUUUUGCAGGAGCCAUUUGCUGGAAAAAAGGAAAAAAAAAAAAAAAAGAUAUAGUGAUAUCAGUUAUUGAAUCUAUCACAACUAUGCUUUACACACUUCCGAAAAGUAGAAAAAGUAAAGACAUCAAACUACACUGAGGAACAAGUUCCAGCAUAGGCAACAAACUCCAGUUUAGAAAUCUGUCACUAACUCACUAUGUAGUUAGACAAAAUUUUAUCUUAUGCAACAACUAGCAUGUUUUGACAUUUGUACCACUCAUCCAUCUGUCAACAUGAGGACCAUAAGUUAAAUUAUGAAUUCGGACAGUUGAGUCUCCAGUGCAAAUAUUGCAAUAAUUGUACCAGUUUAAUAAAUCUGUCACUGAAGCAGACUCAAUAGAGAUUAUUAAUUAACACAUCCACUGAAUUCCAACUUUUCUUAUGACAUUCUAAGUUUUAAGGUUCCUUUGUAGAUAUAUGAAUUUUGAUUGACUGUAUAUAUCAAAAGCAGGGGACAACUAAUGAGGAAAAAAAAUUCAAUUAUACCUUAUUCAUAGCGACCAUAGCCUUAGUUGCUCCUUUCAUCCCUGUAGAAAUUGAUGUGCUAGCAUAUAGCGCCUGUAAACCAAGAGACAACCAUUUAUAUUACAAAACAAAAAUAAAAGACACAAAAUUGAUUCAUCAUCUUAGUAACUAUAUUUUGCUGAUAGGAAAACGACCUGUGUAUGGGUAGCUACACCUCUAAUUUGGGCACGACUUCCUUGCAAGUUUGUUAUUUGUUGCCGCAGCCGAACAAGUUGACGUGCUAAGAUUUUAGUAGCAGCCUAUGUAAAUGCUUGCACAAAAGUAUUUCAAUUCAAGCUGAAGAACUUAUUGAGCAUGAGUUGACUAAAAUGGUUUAAAAAAAAGGCACUGCCCAUAUAUGUCCAGUAAAAGUCAAUACAUUCCAAUCAAUAUGUGGUUAUAUUUAUCAUAUUGAGGUUUCAAUUGAUAUAUCCUUUUAAAUCAUUAGAAACCAACUGAAGCAGAUGCAAACAAGUUUAAUGCAUUCAUCGUAAUGCACAAGGUCAGAUGAACUUGGACACUACUGAUUGGUAGUCCAAAUCGUGUCAACAAGAUCAUUUAACAGUCAAUUAUGAUUCUGUUUAGCUUAGUUGCUCUUACUUCUUUAGGUGACUAAAGUUUAUACAGGUCAUAGUCUCAUAAGUCAUAAGUGGUUGCUUUUGCACGUAUAGGACCUCCUUCAACAGAAUUGCAGUUUAUUUAUAUAACACCAUUAUCAUAGUUCAAAUUGACAAUCAAAAUUGCAAGGAAAAGGGCUAAAUGUUUCACUUGCCAGUUAAAGAAAAAUUGUCAUGAAUGCUCAUUUAAAAAUUAAUCAUAGUGAUAGCAUGUAGCAAAUAAUGUCAGAAUAACUAAGGUUCUCAGCAAAGUUAAAGUAAGAUGGUUCACCAGUUAAUCUUAAUUUGGAGGAGUUCCAUGACAAAUAAGACUCAAAUCAAGCUUCUUAGGUUUCUAGCGUUUUUACAAAUAAGUCUUGUUACUGAGCAAUAGAAGUUAAAUACAUAUAGUGACUGACAAGAACAAUAAUGUGAUCCAACUGAAAAUGAUGAAUAUAUGAUAUGGUAGCAAAAGAUUGAACAAUAACUGACAAGACAGUAAUGAAAGAUCAUCCCCUAAAUCUUAAUAGCUACUAGGUUACAGCUCAUGUCCAUCACUACUUUAUGUUCAUGAAAAAACAAACUUGCCUCAUUUCCAGUUUUUGCUGUUUGCUUGAUCUCUGCCACCAACUUCUUUUCCUGAAUUGCAUACAAGAGUAAAAUUAGGAGUAUUAUUGACCAAUUAGACCUCCAAAACAUAUCAGUGAUGAUAACAUACCUCUAAUUGAAGAGAUGCAAUUUCACGUUCAAUACCUAGAAAAGACAAGGGAAAAAGAAUUGCAUGAUUGUUAUAAGCAAUAUCUAUAGGAAAGGCUUAUUUGUGUGUUAGAAGUGUUUCUUUUCAUGAUAUUUCUUAGCGCUUCAAAAAUUGAUUCUAGAGCCUAUUUAAAAGCAAAAGUUUAAUAUUUAAAAAGAGCAUGUAUGAGUAAGGCAUUUAAGAAACAACAUUGAUCAUUCAAGUUUUAUGUAGAUAAUUUUGGCAAUUGGGACCAGUUAGCCAUGAGCAACUUGAACAAAAUUCAAGCACAGAGGAGGAUAGCUGAUAGCUGGUAGCUGGUAAUACACAUACACACACACACACACACACACACGCACACACACUUUAUUAGUCUUUUUUUCUUCCUUGUUCAAAUGUAGCAUGAGUUUUUAGCCUAAACUUCAUCAGAAUUGGUUGUUAUCUAUAGCUUGACAAACCAAAAUAUCCACAGGCAAGCUUCGUGGCUAAGAGUUAUUUUUAAAUGCAUAAACACAAUUUCCUAUAAGAAAGUCAUAUUAUAGGUUUUGCUAGGAUCCUAUUAUACUUCAAGGUUUUUUUUUUCUUUUAAAAAAUAUUUUAAAAAAAACAUGUUU